UGCUGGGUCCUGUGCAGCAGGACACUGUAAACCCCGCCAGGGUCGGAAGGCAGCAACGGUACGCAGACCGUCCUGGGUGACAUGGGAGUGCCUGGUAUGC
rnacentral:SRP_RNA from 1 species